AUUGAACGCUGGCGGCAUGCCUUACACGUGCAAGUCGAACGGUAACAGGUCUUCGGAUGCUGACGAGUGGCGAACGGGUGAGUAAUACAUCGGAACGUGCCUAGUAGUGGGGGAUAACUACUCGAAAGAGUGGCUACUACCGCAUGAGAUCUACGGAUGAAAGCAGGGGAUCGCAAGACCUUGUGCUACUAGAGCGGCCGAUGGAAGAUUGGGUAGUUGGUGGGAUAAGAGCUUACCAAGCCGACGAGCUGUAGCUGGUCUGAGAGGACGAUCAGCCACACUGUGACUGAGAACCGGCCCAGAUUCCUACGGGAGGCAGCAGUGGGGAAUUUUGGACAAUGGGCGCAAGCCUGAUCCAGCAAUGCCGCGUGCAGGAUGAAGGCCUUCGGGUUGUAAACUGCUUUUGUACGGAACGAAAAGCCCCGGGUUAAUACCCUGGGGUCAUGACGGUACCGUAAGAAUAAGCACCGGCUAACUACGUGCCAGCCGCCGCCGUAA
rnacentral:rRNA from 1 species